rnacentral:lncRNA from 1 species
CUGUGAGUGAUGUCACCGAUGAGCAGGCUUUUGAGAGACAUAUAAGAAAGAAACAACCUAAUUUCUAAGAGGCGAACUGUAAACGUCAGUGCCCAAGAUAGUGCUGUCUUUUAGCUAAUGGGCUGAGUGAGUGAGAGGGCAGCAAGGCGUCAGAGGGAAGAGACAUAGGCAGAGCAACAAUACUCAGGAAAGAAGUGGACAGAUGGCCGUAGCAGUCAAGCUGGCAGCCAGCAUGGUGCAUUCAUCUCUCUCUACCAUUCCUAUGGGUGUGGUACAACCAACUGUCUUAUAAUCUUGUCCUGUGACUUCACUGCAAUGGUGGCCUGUGACCUAGAACUGUAAAAGAAGACCCUUCUUACUCAAAGUCACUCUGAUCAUCAUCACUUGUGCGGUUCUAUCAAUCUACCUAUGCAUUUCUACACCACCUCUCACCAGAGUGCUUGCCUCCUGUUCUCCCUAAGCAAUGAGGUUAAUAUUGAAGUUGACUACAAUGAAGGAAGGGUGGAGAGUUUUAAAGUUUCAUGAGAUACUAUCAGAACCGCAAAGCAAGGAAGCCUGGAAGUCAGUGCAGAAAGAAUAGCAGUUGUCAUCACAAGAUCCAAGUGAGCGAACCGGGUACAUCCAUGGUGCUCGCAGCAUCCAGACGGAGAGGACACAACCCAUCUACGAAGCAUCAGCUUCCACAUCCUAACCACAUCCCUGUCCUUUAUUUCUUUCCCACAAUGUAAGGGCAAUAAAGAUUAACCUAUCUACUUAAGUUUUGUAAUUACAGUUAUAUAUAAAAGACUUGGUAAUGUUCUUUUAUAUAAAAAUAAAAUAUUCAAUGCAUGAUAUUUAAAACAGACAUAAAGAUGUAACAGGUAUUCCUUUAAGAAAAUUCCUCUGGUGGCAUUCUAGAUCAUCAAUGGGAGGGGAUGCCCUUGGUCCUGUGGAGUCUUGAUGCCCCAGCAUAGGGGGAUGCUAGAACAAUGAGGCAGAGCUCUGUUUAUUACUAACUUCUUUUGCUAAUUGAAGUAUGUCAACCAGGACUGGCCAGUGAAUAAAGACUUUCUAUUAAAGAAUGCAUGUGUCCUCUGAAGGAGCUACCUCCUAACAACGAAAGACAUCAGGAUAUCUUAAGAACAGUAAACCAAUCUAAGACCUGAGUUAUACUUUGAAAAUCUUGCAACUUCAAGAGUGAGGUACCUGGUGGAAGCAAUGUUACUCUGCAUUCAGGACAAAGAAUCCUGCUGAUGUCUCACUGCCACAGAAGCCAGAAAGCAGGAGAUUCUGGGUUGAAAAUCAGAGGCCACAUCUCAGGACUUAGAGGAAAGUGAUGAGUGGAGAACAAGAUGCUCAUCUCAGCACGGCUUGAGAUAAUGGUCACUCUUCCAGGAAACCUGGUCAUCUUCCCUUGUGACGGUGGUGAGUGAUGGCUGCCUGGUGUGUCUAAGUUGUGUUCACAUGGCUCCUGAGAGCUGACUGAUUUUAAUGCCUGACUCCAUUCAACAAAAUCCAAUAAAGCUUUAUUUGACCACCUACUGUGAGCCAAUCGAUAGAAAAUGAGCUUGGAUUAUAAAAAAUAAUAACACACAAAGUGGU